rnacentral:rRNA from 1 species
GACGAACGCUGGCGGCGUGCUUAACACUUGCAAGUCGAACGGAAAGGCCCUGCUUUUGUGGGGUGCUCGAGUGGCGAACGGGUGAGUAACACGUGAGUAACCUGCCCUUGACUUUGGGAUAACUUCAGGAAACUGGGGCUAAUACCGGAUAGGAGCUCCUGCUGCAUGGUGGGGGUUGGAAAGUUUCGGCGGUUGGGGAUGGACUCGCGGCUUAUCAGCUUGUUGGUGGGGUAGUGGCUUACCAAGGCUUUGACGGGUAGCCGGCCUGAGAGGGUGACCGGCCACAUUGGGACUGAGAUACGGCCCAGACUCCUACGGGAGGCAGCAGUGGGGAAUAUUGCACAAUGGGCGGAAGCCUGAUGCAGCAACGCCGCGUGCGGGAUGACGGCCUUCGGGUUGUAAACCGCUUUCGCCUGUGGCGAAGCGUGAGUGACGGUAAUGGGUAAAGAAGCACCGGCUAACUACGUG